rnacentral:rRNA from 1 species
AGAGUUUGAUCAUGGCUCAGGACGAACGCUGGCGGCGUGCUUAACACAUGCAAGUCGAACGGAGCACCCUUGACUGAGGUUUCGGCCAAAUGAUAGGAAUGCUUAGUGGCGGACGGGUGAGUAACGCGUGAGGAACCUACCUUGGAGUGGGGAAUAACAGUCCGAAAGGACUGCUAAUACCGCAUAAUGCAGUUGGGCCGCAUGGCUCUGACUGCCAAAGAUUUAUCGCUCUGAGAUGGCCUCGCGUCUGAUUAGCUAGUAGGCGGGGUAACGGCCCACCUAGGCGACGAUCAGUAGCCGG